CCUACGGGGGGCAGCAGUGAGGAAUAUUGGACAAUGGGCGCAAGCCUGAUCCAGCCAUGCCGCGUGCAGGAUGACGGUCCUAUGGAUUGUAAACUGCUUUUGCACAGGAAGAAACAACUCUACGUGUAGAGUCUUGACGGUACUGUGAGAAUAAGGAUCGGCUAACUCCGUGCCAGCAGCCGCGGUAAUACGGAGGAUCCAAGCGUUAUCCGGAAUCAUUGGGUUUAAAGGGUCCGUAGGCGGUCUUAUAAGUCAGUGGUGAAAUCUCCCCGCUCAACGGGGAAACGGCCAUUGAUACUGUAAGACUUGAAUUAUUAGGAAGUAACUAGAAUAUGUAGUGUAGCGGUGAAAUGCUUAGAGAUUACAUGGAAUACCAAUUGCGAAGGCAGGUUACUACUAAUGGAUUGACGCUGAUGGACGAAAGCGUGGGUAGCGAACAGGAUUAGAUACCCGGGUAGU
rnacentral:rRNA from 1 species